UCUCUCUUCCCCGACCGCAACAGACUUGAAAUUGCCUGUGCUCAGGCCCGUUAGUGCUACAACGUAGCCCUAGUUAUUAUUAUUAUUUUUUUCCGAUUAAACUAAUUGGCUUUUUGAGGGCUUUAAUGUGCUCAAAAAGUUGUAGGAGUUUGCAGUAAAUUCGAAGGCGGCUUAAAUUUACGUAUUCUGGAGUAUUUUGAAAAGGGCGUGGCAAAAUGGCUCAAGAGCGCCACCUACGGAAAAGCCCCUCAUUUAGCAUUCACCGAUCCUCAAAAAAAACAAAGACUAUUGUGUAUCAUGACUAGAUGCACAAAAAAGUCCAUCAGUGCAUUAUGAAUAACGCAACAGGAAGCCCGCCAGUUUGACUUUAGUGGCCAUUUUGGUCAUAUUCCAUAUUUUUGUUUUGAAGUACUCCUCCUACAGCUUUCAUCAAAUCAACUUACAAUUUAGACGAUCGUCAUCACAACAAAAUGGAGAUCUAAAGUUAUUGAAGGAUUAAGUUUUAGCAAAACCGUCUGACCGUGGUGUGGCCUCAAAAUUUGAUUAAACGCCAUCAAAACACGGGCUCCUGUAUCUUGGACAUAUUUUGUCCAAUCGAGUCCAAACUAUACACAUAAGACAAGAGUCGCGACCUGAAGACAUCGGUACAGAAAUCGUGACUUAAAAUCACAGCGUCCCCUGGUGGCAACAGCAAAUGUCUUGUUUUUCUAUGUGUUACAGUUUGAUUCACUACUCGUAGGGCCUUCAUUAAAUCAACGUAAAAAUUUGAUGCAUGUGUUCAAAACAAGAUGAAGAUCUAAAGUUAACGAAAUUGCAACUUUUCAUAAUACUGUGUGACCGUGGUGUGGCUUCCAGUUUGAGGAAUGAAAACAUCUAUAUCUGGCAGAUGUGCUGCAAUAUUUAGUCACUAGAUGGCAGUGUCAGACCAUGGAUUGUGUUAUCUAUGCAUUAACAGACUGUGUUUACAGGGUGGCCAACUUUAGAGGAGAAUUAAACCUUUUACAGCAUUGCUCAAACUUUGGUUUUAGUCUCAAUCGCUAAGUUCUUCCUUCAUGACAACUCUGAGGGGGGUGUAUUUUAUUUUAACUCCCUCGUUUAAGCGAUAUAGAUGUUUGAAAUUCACGUGACGUCACAGUGUAAGCUGUGCUGUGUGUUGUGAGUUCGGCUUCAACCAGCUACAAGUGAACGCCUCAUGAAAUGGCUUACACCCACAUACCCGGUAAAUUACACACUUUGAUGUUCUGCUCCUUCUCCUGACGGUCACGGUAACGAUGUCUGCGCCUCCGUUUCUGUGGAUGUCCAGCGUGAGACACAACUUGAAUCCAACCAGACUGAACACUGACUCCAGGUACAGACCUGUUUUCAUUACUUACAAAGUAUUGCACAUAAUACAUAAUGUGUUAAAUUAUAAUGCAAUACUUUUAAUGUGAAAUAGCUCCAUACUAAACAUUCAUUGUCAUGGUAGUGCACGUUUUAAUCCAAAAGCAUAUUCAAAUACAUAGUUGAAUAUCCACCGAAAAUAAGAAUACACACUUUGUUCAUAUGUAACUCUAAUAAAUACUGUAUAAGUUAUAUUUUGCUCCGGAAUUGAACUGUGUUAAAGCGGUUCACAUGGAAAAUAUAUGUUCAAUUAUGUGAAGGGUGAUUUUCAUUACUAUUACACUAAUGGAGAUUUAGCACUUGCUACACAUUGUAAGAGCAGCUGUGCAAAGGAGCACUACGUAUCCUAAGGCUCUUUAUUCAGAGUCACGGUGUUGAUGUCCUGUCACGUGUUACAGUGAAAAAUAACCGUGUCUACUAGUGUUUACAUCGUUAAUCUCAGGCAGACUUCCCUGAAUUAUUUUGUUAAAUAUAAAUACAUUAUAGCCUUGUAACUUUACUAGAACAGACAGAGUUCAUAGAGAAUUUGAAAAUGAUGUACACUACCUAUUUCCUAAGAUGAAAUGAUUAUGAUCUGAUUAUUUUUAUGUUUCCUCUCAUUUUAUUAGGGACGGACGAGCCUGAAGGACACAGCUGUGAUGACCAAUUGACGAUGUUUUGUCUCUUAUGGCAAAGCAGAAAUAUUAAACACUGGGUUCUUAUCUAAAGUGUAUCAAAUCAGAAAGCAAAAGAUACACAUUGUUGUUAUAAGUUUUUAUUAUUUUAACCAACCAUAAUGAAGAUAGAAAUGAAUUCUUAUCCAUGCCACUUAGCAAUGACUGCCACCACCAAACAGUUGCAGGCCAUCUUUAUUUAAGGGAGGAAUUUAGAAGUGUUGUGUAGCUUCUGAUGAUGAUGCAGUCGUCCACGUGUUGACCACCAUGUUGCUGCUGACGACGUCAGGUGCUGCAGUUCCUCAUCUAUGAAGAGAAGAAACGCACUGUUAAAGAAUGUUUUGAGUUGUGUAUGAAGCACAACAGAUUUCAGAUAGAACCGUUGUACUGUGGUCUGGGUUUGUAUCCUAAUGGUUAAAUGCACAUAUUUUAAGUCGCUUUUGAUAAAAGUACUGAAAGAAAUACAACAUUGUAAAAAUAGAUAAAAUGUCUUUCUACCUCAUCUGUAAUAUUCAAGGUGAUAAUCUCCCACAGAGCUAUUGAUAACAGUCCACAUCAAGUCUCUCCACUUCUCUCAGUGUGAAAACAUAACUAUAUAAUUAAUUUGAGAACUGUUUACAACACUGAUGUGUGGAGAUUAAAAUCAUAUCUAAACUGUCUAAUUCACUGUAAAACUCCAUGACAUUCGCAGGCCAUCUGUAGUUAAGGGAGCAACGUAUGGAGUGAUGUGAAGAGGGCAGAAACUUGGACUAUGGGCAGAGAAGGUCUCUGGUUCGUCUCCGGUUCGACUCCACGGAGAGACAACAAAAGACAAACCUGGAUUGAUCUGUCCAAAAAUCCAAGAGUCUCCCUACCCUCUCUAGUGCCCCUGAGCAAGGCACCUCACUCCCCCAACAUCUGCUCCGUGAGCGCCGUACAUGGUCGCUCACUGCUCUGUGUGUCCUGCACCAGAUGGGUAAAAAGCAGAGAUUAAAUUUCCCUACCUGCAUGAGUGUGCCUUUGCAUGUCUGUGCAUGUGUUUGGGACGAAUAAAUGGAUCUUAAUCUUAAUCUUUUAAUCUUAAUCAGUUGUCUUCCAGUUGACCAGCAUGAAGCUGCAAAUCUCCACCAUGUUGCUGCUGAGGACAUCAGGAGCUGCAUUAAUGAGGAGCAGAAGCGCACUGUUAUGAAUGUUUUGUGUUGUGUAUGAAGCACCACAUAUUUCAGAUAGAACCGAUGUACUGGGGUCUGGGUUUGUAUACUAAUGGUUAAAUGCACAUACUUUAAAUCGCUUUUGAUAAAA